GUGUUGUAUGACAGGAGAGAAGUUUAGCACUCCCCUUGAUAAGAAUGGAAGAGGCUGUUGGUUUUU
rnacentral:ncRNA from 1 species